CUGCUGCCUCCCGUAGGAGUUUGGUCCGUGUCUCAGUACCAAUGUGGGGGGUUGGACCUCUCAGUCCCCCUACUGUAUCGUCGCCUUGGUGAGCCGUUACCUCACCAACUAGCUAAUACAACGCAUGUCCAUCUCUGACCACCUGAGUUUUCAACCACCGAAGAUGCCUCCGGUGAUGUUAUGGGGUAUUAGUACCAAUUUCUCGAUGUUAUCCCCCUGUCAAAGGUAGGUUACAUACGCGUUACGCACCCGUCCGCCGGUCGCCG
rnacentral:rRNA from 1 species